rnacentral:rRNA from 1 species
AUUGAACGCUGGCGGCAUGCCUUACACAUGCAAGUCGAACGGCAGCGCGGGAGCAAUCCUGGCGGCGAGUGGCGAACGGGUGAGUAAUAUAUCGGAACGUGCCCAGUAGUGGGGGAUAGCCCGGCGAAAGCCGGAUUAAUACCGCAUACGACCUACGGGUGAAAGGGGGGGAUCGCAAGACCUCUCGCUAUUGGAGCGGCCGAUAUCAGAUUAGGUAGUUGGUGGGGUAAAGGCCUACCAAGCCUGCGAUCUGUAGUUGGUCUGAGAGGACGACCAGCCACACUGGGACUGAGACACGGCCCAGACUCCUACGGGAGGCAGCAGUGGGGAAUUUUGGACAAUGGGCGCAAGCCUGAUCCAGCUAUGCCGCGUGCAGGAAGAAGGCCUUCGGGUUGUAAACUGCUUUUGUCAGGGAAGAAAUCCUCUGGGUUAAUACCUCGAGGGGAUGACAGUACCUGAAGAAUAAGCACCGGCUAACUCCGUGCCAGCCGCCGCCGUAAAAC